ACAAACACAGGCAGGGCCACCAUAGCUGGCAUGCAUGAUCAAACAUCCCUAAGAGCCGCCAGGAUUGACCUUCUUCUUGUCUUGGCUCUUCUUAACGGAGGAAGCAACGUACUGUGCCAUCAUCUUCUUCACUGAUAUUUUGCGUGGUGGAAUCAAGCUGUCUGUCCUGGUUCUAGGUCCAUCCUUCCCCUUGCCCUUGUCCGCCAUCGCUCGCUCGCUCGCCCGCUCUCUCUCUCUGCACUCUUCUCUGUAAUGUUCUGGACAAGCUAUUUCGAUGGGUUCAUUCAGUAGCUCAAACUCUGGGGAGAAAACUUCUGCGUCUUCCAUAGGUACGGGCCUGCGGAAAAUGUAUUUAUCAGUGAAUUUCUGAAAACUUAUCGUAAUACUUGAUGAAAAUAAACCAUGUAUACAUAUAUAUUUGGACAUCAAGACAUUGAAUUUUAACAGAAAUAUUGAAUUUGAAUUUUAGUCA